rnacentral:sRNA from 1 species
UGGGUUGUAACAUAUUAGAAUUGGGAAAUGCCGAAUGUCCGAUUGAAGUGCAGGCUGCUGUUAACUGUCGUGCAGGCAAGGCUAUGCUGCGUCUGACUCAUGGUAAUACUAGUCAUAGUGGCACUGUUGAAGUUUUCUACAAUGGCGAAUGGGGAAUAGUCUGUGAUGACUACUGGACUGAUGCCGAUGCUCAGGUGGUUUGUUACAUGCUAGGGUAUCAAAGAUAUGGAGCUAAAGCAGUGC